GAGCGCGAGUGCGCCGGCUUAAGCUCUAAUUUGAAAUCUGGCGUCUUUGGCGUCCGAGUUGUAAUUUGAAGAAGGUAUCUUUGGGCCCGGCUCUUGUCUAUGUUCCUUGGAACAGGACGUCACAGAGGGUGAGAAUCCCGUGCGAUGAGAUGACCCGGGUCUGUGUAAAGUUCCUUCGACGAGUCGAGUUGUUUGGGAAUGCAGCUCUAAGUGGGUGGUAAAUUCCAUCUAAAGCUAAAUAUUGGCGAGAGACCGAUAGCGAACAAGUACAGUGAUGGAAAGAUGAAAAGAACUUUGAAAAGAGAGUGAAAAAGUACGUGAAAUUGUUGAAAGGGAAGGGCUUGAGAUCAGACUUGGUAUUUUGCAUGCUGCUCUCUCGGGGGCGGCCGCUGCGGUUUACCGGGCCAGCAUCGGUUUGGAGCGGCAGGAUAAUGGCGGAGGAAUGUGGCACGGCUUCUGCUGUGUGUUAUAGCCUCUGACGAUACUGCCAGCCUAGACCGAGGACUGCGGUUUUUACCUAGGAUGUUGGCAUAAUGAUCUUAAGUCGCCCGUCUUGAAACACGGACCCAA
rnacentral:rRNA from 1 species